GUUCCAGACUCCUACGGGAGGCAGCAGUGGGGAAUAUUGCACAAUGGGGGAAACCCUGAUGCAGCGACGCCGCGUGAGUGAAGAAGUAUUUCGGUAUGUAAAGCUCUAUCAGCAGGGAAGAAAAUGACGGUACCUGACUAAGAAGCCCCGGCUAACUACGUGCCAGCAGCCGCGGUAAUGCGUAGGGGGCAAGCGUUAUCCGGAUUUACUGGGUGUAAAGGGGGCGCAGACGGCAGCGCAAGCCAGGAGUGAAAGCCCGGGGCCCAACCCCGGGACUGCUCUUGGAACUGCGCGGCUGGAGUGCAGGAGGGGCAGGCGGAAUUCCUGGUGUAGCGGUGAAAUGCGUAGAUAUCAGGAGGAACACCGGUGGCGAAGGCGGCCUGCUGGACUGCGACUGACGUUGAGGCCCGAAAGCGUGGGGAGCAAACAGGAUUAGAUACCCGCGUA
rnacentral:rRNA from 1 species